CGCUUAGUUGCCUAGUGGUUAUAGCGUCCGCCUCGGAUGCGGGAGGCCGUGGGUUCGAGCUCUCUCGCUUGGCGC